rnacentral:rRNA from 1 species
CAGCAGCCGCGGUAAUACGUAGGGGGCGAGCGUUGUCCGGAAUUAUUGGGCGUAAAGAGCUCGUAGGCGGCUUGUCACGUCGGAUGUGAAAGCCCGAGGCUUAACCUCGGGUCUGCAUUCGAUACGGGCUAGCUAGAGUGUGGUAGGGGAGAUCGGAAUUCCUGGUGUAGCGGUGAAAUGCGCAGAUAUCAGGAGGAACACCGGUGGCGAAGGCGGAUCUCUGGGCCAUUACUGACGCUGAGGAGCGAAAGCGUGGGGAGCGAACAGGAUUAGAUACCCUGGUAGUCCACGCCGUAAACGUUGGGAACUAGGUGUUGGCGACAUUCCACGUCGUCGGUGCCGCAGCUAACGCAUUAAGUUCCCCGCCUGGGGAGUACGGCCGCAAGGCUAAAACUCAAAGGAAUUGACGG